rnacentral:misc_RNA from 1 species
AAGUCGUAACAAGGUUUCCGUAGGUGAACCUGCGGAAGGAUCAUUAACAAUUUAAAUUUUGUCAUGAGGAUUGGAAGAAGCCAAUGGAGAGACCUUAAUCCGUCUUUACUGAGGUGUUAAUCCCUUCUUCAUGACACUUUUACAUGUCUUACCCUAAGAAGCCAAAAGCUUUUUAGGGGGCCCUCUUAUGUUGGAGGGCUUUGACACCAUACAUUAACAUUAAACAUUUGACAACAAAUGGAGAACCACUCUAAAAUUGGUAAACGUUUUAAACAACUUUUAACAAUGGAUCUCUAGGCUCUU